GGGGAUUUAGCUCAGUGGUAGAGUGUUUGCCUGGCAUACAUGAGGCCCUGGGUUCAAUCCCCA
rnacentral:tRNA from 1 species